AUCCUCUCUAAAAUCCUACUGACAAUAUAAGAAGAUUCAUAAAAUGUCCACAGAAAUCAGAGCAGGUGUCAUUCGGACUAAGCUGGCUCUAUUUCUCACUAUGAUUAACCAGCUCGUAAUGACAACAUUUCUUAUCUUACAACUGUGGCAUGAAGAGGGAGCUGUAGCUCUUCUGAGACACAAUUCUGCACACCCCAGCUUAUCCACGCUCUGCGAUCUCGUGUCUGUUUCUCUCUCUCUCUCUCUCUCUCUCUCUCUCUCUCUCUCUCUCUCUCUCUCUCUCUCUCUCUCUCUCUCUCUCUCAUCAUUUUAACCAUUGUACCAGCUCCAUUUAAAUGUAUCUGCGGAGGAUCUGGUCAAGUGGAGAUAAUCCAUGCAAAUCAGAAACUGGUUGUCAGUGUGUGGUUCCCGGAGAGGACUCAGCCUGAGGAGGUCACUCGUUCACAGCCGCUCCUCCCAUUCUAUCUCUCCCCUUAUUGCAGAACUGCUGUAUGUAUACAGUAGCAGAAAGGACUCAAUUGACUUCAACUGCUGCCUGGCUUUGCUUACAACUUUUUCUUAUAAAGGAACUUACCUCCAUCUGUCUCUUGAAGGUGGCUGGCUACUUCCUCUAAACUCCACAACUCAUUCGAAAGACUAUGGAGCCUACAUAGUUUCUAAAGACAAACGAUGAAUUUCAAAAUCUACUUCCUCCAGGAGCUGAGGUUUGCGAAGCCGGGAUGGAAUGGACCAGGUAAAAGUCAGGAGUUUGGGCCACUGCUUCAAACUGCUCAGAUCAUCUCACAGUAACCAUUAAUCAGCGAAUUCAACUACA
rnacentral:lncRNA from 1 species